GACGAACGCUGGCGGCGUGCUUAACACAUGCAAGUCGUACGGUAAGGCCCUUUCGUUGGUCCACGAGUGGCGCACGGGUGCGUAACACUUGCGUAACCUUCCCACAACUUUGGGAUAACGCUAGAAAACUGGUGCUAAUACUGGAUAUGUGCUCCUGCUUCAUCGUGGGGGUUGGAAAGCUCCGGCGGUUUUGGAUGGCCUCUCUGCCUAUCAGCUUGUUGGUGUGGUAGUGGCCUACCAAGGCGGCGACGGGUAGCCGGCCUGAGAGGGUGACCUGCCACAUUGGGACUGAGAGGAGGCCGAGACACGUACGGGAGGCAGAAGUGGGGAAGAUUGCACGAGGGGCGCCAGCCGGAUGCAGAAACGCCGCGGGUGGGAUGACGGCCUUAGGGUUGAAAAACGAGUUCAGCAGGGACGAAGCAUUUUGCGACGGUACCUGAAGAAGAAGCACCGGCUAACUACGUG
rnacentral:rRNA from 1 species